rnacentral:tRNA from 1 species
UCCCUGCUGGCCCAGCUGGUAAAGAAUCUGCCUGGAAUGCAGGAGACCCAGGUUUGAUUCCUGGGUUGGAAA